UCUUAACGGGUAAGUCAGAACUUCACCUGAAUCAAACAAAGGGCUAGGUAGCCAGCUGCUCACCUGACCCUGAUGAACUGUAAUUAUUGGAUAUCUUCAAGGAAAGAUGUAAUAAAAAUGUUCCUAUGAACCUGAUAUAAAUGCUUCUAAUUGAAUGAAGUAUGAAAACCAGAAUGUUUGAUAAGGCUUAAUCACUGCUAGCGAGCUGGCUUUUAUCUCCAGGUCUAGCAUGAAGAGAGCUGCUGAAUGACCUGUAAUGCCGCCAGCAGAGCUGAGCAUGCCUAGGACUUCCAAAAAGGGGGCUUGUUCAUAAAAAUAACCCUCUUAAACUCAGGUGUCAUUCAGAUUCAGAUUCAUCCCUGGAACCAGGAGCAGGACUUGAAAAGAAGCUUCACCAAUGAAAGGCUUGUCUGUGUUUUAUCUGAACCAGAACAGUCUCGUUUGGAGGGCCGGUAAUAUCCCUGACAGUAACAAAUGACUCAGAAGGGGUAGUGGAAGUGAAACCCUCCCUUCCUGGCAAGGAUCUCAGAGAGCUGGUUCUGCAAUGUGUUUAUGCAUUUGUUCUAGCACGUACACAUCUGUCUCAGCAGCACAGGGAACACCUUCACAUGCAUCAACCAAGGACAGCUUCUGAGAGGACAGAGCGUACCUUUGAAUGAACCACCGCAUUACCACACAGAGACUUAGGAGGCUAAAAAUACCCUCACCAACCAUUUAUUUGUGUUGAAAUGACUGGAGACUGUUAUUGAUACCAUAAACUGAAAGAAGCUUAUAACUCCUACCAUGUUUUCCCAGAAUCUUCCUCUCUCCUUGGCCUGCGAAGAGCUCCAGGUGUUCCAGACACAGUGCCAGAAACGAAGCUCCAGCAAUACAUCACAAAUGAAAUAAGAUUGUGUUAAGCAAUAAAUAGAGGAAUUUCCGACACAUUUCCCUUUACUCAGUGGAGGUUUUAUGAUGCAUUAUUUUUUUUCUCAACCACCUCAGCUCCUUCUAACACAUCAGCAACAGGAAUUUGCCAUCUGUCCCUAAUACUGUUCCACAGGUCUGUGGCAUUUUAUGGUGGACAUACUGUCCCAACAAAGUUUAACUGCUUUUCUGCAUGCAGUAGCAUCACUUAGGUUAUUCCCCAAACAAACUGCUCCCACUCUGUCCUGAAGUUUGAAGCUGGAGCUGUAUCAGAGCUGAAGAAUAUAUAAUUAGUGUUUGCAUCUUCCAAUAGGUCUGUUGGUUAAAUGGAAGAUACUUUCUUCCCUUACAAACCUUGCCUCUAUUACAAAAUAGAAGCCUCUAUUCUUAGAAAAAUGUUUUUAGUUAUUCCUAAACUUUACUGUAGAAAGACGAGCUGAAGAUUCUCAUACAGAAGGACUAUUUGGAGGAGGGAAAAAAAAAACAAACAAACAAACACCAGCAAAAGACCAAGCAGGCAUAUGUUGGCAUUCUGGUAGCUCAGCUAUGAGAGUUGCAUACAAACCAACACAGGGCAGAGACGCAGCAGACUGCCAGAAAUACAGAGCACAGGAGUACUCUCAUUAUUUACAAACCAAAAUUUAAUCAAGAUUGAACAAAAAAUGUUCAUUUUUGUUUAGCAUUUUAAUUUACCUGCCAGUUGCUUCUGUUCCUACAGAACAAAAGGGGAGGAAAGGAAAUUUUUUCAGCUAAGAAGGCUAAGUAGGGUAGGGUAACACCAGAAUUUCACAUGUGGUAUCCAGUCCUGCAAAGGCUGCCUGGGGGAGCUCAGGCAGGUAACCUGGAUCUCACUGCCUGAGCCCCACUUCUUGACAUGGAGAUGGCACUGCAGCAUACAGAAUGUAACUACACGGAUAUUUCUUACACAUUUCCUUGUGAUUUUGAUGUGAGUUCGACAACUAUCACUUAAAAGUGUAUUUCUCUAACUUACCAGAAUGCAAUUUGCUAUCAGUAUGUAAUUGCGUCAUUGUUACUCCUUUUUUGAUACAAACACUUCCGUGCUUGAAGAUAUUUUUCAUAUUUUUUCUUCCAAAAGUAUACUUUUAACAACUUUAAUGUUAGAGGGGAAUAAUACUUAAGGUGGUUCUGACCCUAUCAUUUGUUGGGUUUGUUUGCAACUGUAGACAGUCGUACAAGCAGUGUAAUUUCCAACAGAAGCUGAACAGUAUGAUUGCUACAAACUUAGUCAUAGUUUCACGAGAAGGUGCACAAGCCCUUGUCAGACAAAAAGAGACUGGGUUCAGUGUUACCAACAAGAAGAAGGAAUGUAUCUGCCAUUGAGGCUCUAGUAAGCAAACUCAGUGAUUCUGAGGAAAUUGAUUAGUUUACACCAAGAGGAGUGGCUGUGUGCAACUUUGUCUUCAUUAGCAUUCAGCACCUCGAGCACUUAAUCCUAGUUUCCACUGAUGCAGGCAUGCACAGACCCGCUCAGCAGCUACUGCAAAACUUUCCAUACAAACAUAGUGCAAAAGCAAAUGUGGUGGUCUUUUUUUUCCACAGUCUUGUCAGGUGAAUAUUCACUCUGCACUUCAGUAAAACUGUACCAUUGGCUUGGGCUUGUGUUGUCAGACACGCCUUAGAAUAGCAUUUAAAUACUAUGAUCUUCCUUUGGCAUCAUCUCCUCAUCCUUUUUUCUUAAUUAAUUUACUUGAAGAUGUUCGUAUCUCCCUCUUACUGAGAGUAGAAAGUUCCAUACGCCAUCGCAGAGGUUUAUGUUAGCUUCAGCAGGAGUUGGAAUGACUCACUGAAAACACCACAGGAGAAAGUGUGAAACCCAUCGAAUACUAUGAGCUGCAAAAAUAAAGAAGGGCAGCAGAUUUAUUCUCAUACCACAUAAGAGAUUUUAAGGCAGACUGAUCAUAUCAACAUAGCGCCAUUGUGCUACUCAGAUACUAAAUUUAUGUGUGCAUCAAAGAAGUGAGUGAAGAAACAUUACCAGACUGUUAUGGUUUAAGAAAUAUCCUUCCCACUGAAACCCAGCUGGCUCCAUGGCACUGAAGGAGAGUCAUUAUUCAUUUGUAGGGAGUAUCCCACCUCCAGUACUACUCUAUAGAAAAAGAAAGAGAAAGAGCAAAAGAAAGAGAAAGAGAAAGAGAAAGAGAAAGAGCAAAAGAAAGAGAAAAAGAAAAAGAAAAAGAAAAGAAAAGAAAAGAAAAGAAAAGAAAAAGAAAAAGAAAAAGAAAAAGAAAAAGAAAAAGAAAAAGAAAAAGAAAAAGAAAAAGAAAAAGAAAAAGAAAAAGAAAAAGAAAAGAAUGCUCCCAGCAUCUUCCAACAGCAUAUGCAUAGUUGAACUUUCUCUGCAAUGAACUGAGCAGCUGUGUCAGCCUCCAAACUUACAACCUAGGCCAUAAAUAUGGGCAUGGCAUCUUACUUCCAGUCUGGUCCCUUAGUUCUCUUCGGUUCUUGGGAAAGCAUAAUUUUUCAGACCCAGGUCGACUGGGAUUGAGAAUCCAUUACUUUGGUCCAUAUCUCUCUAAGCCUCUGUGUAACAACGUGUGCAUGUUCUUCACCUGAUCUGUGGUGACCUACCCACUUUAAAAAAAGUUAAGAAUAAUCCACGCAAAAUAAUAAAUAAAUAAAUAAAUAAAUAAAUAAAUAAAAGAAUUGAGGAACUUUCAGAUUGCAAGGUAUUGAGUUAUGGCUUAGUGCAGUCAUCUAUCUAAUAAUACAGUAGAUUUGGAAGUAGUAUUUUUGUAAUUAUUCCCCAGAAUUUAGGCUGGAUUUACACUUCCUGGGAAGAGCAGACUCCAGCUGCCAAUGUCCUGGUAGUGGAAACUGUCUGAAGGAAGGUCAGGUUCUUGCUGCUGCUUCUCUGUUUCAUCUGUUCCAGCUCCUCAAACCAAACUAAUUUUUGAUUGAUCUCUUCUUCCAACCGCUGGUCAGAGAUCUCUGUGAUGGACUGUGCGCUGUCAGGGGCUCUGCUGUCUGUCAGACUAACAAAAUCUUCCAUGACUUGGAGAUAAAGUUCACCCACCUUGGCCACUCCACAUCAAACACAACAAACACAGGUUUUUGAGGUAGCAUUUCACACACGGCAUUCAAAAGGUCCCAGAUGAAGGUACAUGGAUAUAUGUGACUUUCUGUCUGCCUUUCUACAAUGCCAAGCUGAGUUAGGCAGACCAGACUCUGAAGCCUACAAUACUUAGGAACAUGUUUAGCUCAACUGUAGGCAAAUUUCCUUCUGUCCCAUGUCCCAUAACAAGCUGGGCAACUCAUUAGCAUGAUGUUCUUCCAAUCCUGAUUGCAGAGGACAACAACCUGCUGUGCCUCUAAGCCAAAAGGCACAGACCUGAGGCUCUGAAGGCCUGGGGGUGUCAGCCAGGGCAGUGAUCCGCACAGGGUCCAGGCACUACAUAAAGAGCACUUCUGACAAGUAUCAGAGUUGCUGAUACCACAUACCUCACGCCUCUAUUUCGCAAGCAAAUGUUUUUUUGUACCCAAGCGCCACUUUUGUUAAAACAGUUGGAAAAGAUUGAUAGAAAUAACCUAUAAACGUGUCCCAUAUAAAACUACAAGAAUUGGAUUGAUUGCAUCCUUCUGAAUGUUCAUUUAUCAAAGUUAGCAUUGUUUUAUUUUAA